rnacentral:lncRNA from 10 species
AGCCGCCUCCGAGCCUCAGAGGCCCUCAGUCGUUUCCGUCUGCUGGCGAUAGUCCCGGCCGGGUCGCUGGUGUUGCCAGUUCCGCCCAAAGCAGCUUCUAAUAGCAUCAACUGAAAGAGACCUCCUAGACCUUGUGUCUAGAUUGAUGAAGGUCCCUCUGGCUUUGAGCCUCGGUUUCCCCAACUUUAAUAGCUCCCCUCUCUACCCAUGUUAGAGGCCUACUGUAAAAAUCGUGUGGGCGCGAGGAACUUUUUUGUUUUUGUUUUUGUUUUAAGACUCCGAAUUGGCCGGGCGCGGUGGCUUACGCUUGUAAUCACAACACUUUAGGAGGCCCGAGGCCGGAGGAUGGCAUGAGACCAGGAGUUGGAGACCAGCCUGGGCAACCUAGGGAGACCCCCGUCUCUACAAAAGAAAAUUUAAAAAAUUAGUUGGGCCUGGUGGCCCGCGCCUGUGGUCUCAGCUAUUCGGGAGGCUAAGGCAGGAGAAUCGCUUGAGCCGAGGCUGCAGUGAGC